rnacentral:rRNA from 1 species
GACAGAGGAUGCAAGCGUUAUCCGGAAUGAUUGGGCGUAAAGCGUCUGUAGGUGGUUUAUUAAGUCUACUGUUAAAGAUCAGGGCUUAACCCUGAGCAGGCAAUAGAAACUAAUAAGCUAGAGUACGGUAGGGGCAGAGGGAAUUCCCGGUGUAGCGGUGAAAUGCGUAGAGAUCGGGAAGAACACCAACGGCGAAAGCACUCUGCUGGGCCGAAACUGACACUGAGGAGCGAAAGCGUGGGUAGCAAACAGG